rnacentral:rRNA from 1 species
ACAUGCAGUCGAACGAUGAACUUGGAGCUUGCUCUGGGGGAUUAGUGGCGAACGGGUGAGUAACACGUGAGUAACCUGCCCUGGACUCUGGGAUAACUUCGAGAAAUCGGAGCUAAUACCGGAUAGGACCUUGCACCGCAUGGUGUGGGGUGGAAAGUUUUUCGGUUUGGGAUGGACUCGCGGCCUAUCAGCUUGUUGGUGAGGUAAUGGCUCACCAAGGCGUCGACGGGUAGCCGGCCUGAGAGGGUGACCGGCCACACUGGGACUGAGACACGGCCCAGACUCCUACGGGAGGCAGCAGUGGGGAAUAUUGCACAAUGGGCGCAAGCCUGAUGCAGCAACGCCGCGUGCGGGAUGACGGCCUUCGGGUUGUAAACCGCUUUUAGUAGGGAAGAAGCCUUCGGGUGACGGUACCUGCAGAAAAAGGACCGGCUAACUACGUGCCAGCAGCCGCGGUAAUACGUAGGGUCCGAGCGUUGUCCGGAAUUAUUGGGCGUAAAGAGCUCGUAGGCGGUUUGUCGCGUCUGCUGUGAAAACUAGAGGCUCAACCUCUAGCCUGCAGUGGGUACGGGCAGACUUGAGUGGUGUAGGGGAGACUGGAAUUCCUGGUGUAGCGGUGGAAUGCGCAGAUAUCAGGAGGAACACCGAUGGCGAAGGCAGGUCUCUGGGCACUUACUGACGCUGAGGA